AACGAACGCUGGCGGCAUGCCUAACACAUGCAAGUCGAACGAGACCUUCGGGUCUAGUGGCGCACGGGUGCGUAACGCGUGGGAACCUGCCCUUAGGUUCGGCAUAACUCCCCGAAAGGGGUGCUAAUACCGGAUAAUGUCUUCGGACCAAAGAUUUAUCGCCUUUGGAUGGGCCCGCGUUGGAUUAGCUAGUUGGUAGGGUAAAAGCCUACCAAGGCGACGAUCCAUAGCUGGUCUGAGAGGAUGAUCAGCCACACUGGGGCUGAGACACGGCCCAGACUCCUACGGGAGGCAGCAGUGGGGAAUAUUGGACAAUGGGCGAAAGGCUGAUCCAGCAAGGCCGCGUGAGUGAUGAAGGCCUUAGGGUUGUAAAGCUCUUUUACCCGGGAUGAUAAUGACAGUACCGGGAGAAUAAGCUCCGGCUAACUCCGUG
rnacentral:rRNA from 1 species